UGUCACCAAGCCAGAUCAGGGCAGACUUCUCACCCUGUAGGGAGAACUGCCAGCAUGACACUUGUCAACUUCCUGUGGGCCGUCGCGGUCUCCACCUGUCUUGGAUACAGCGCAGCCCAGACAGUCACUCAGUCUCCACAGCAAAUGUCUGUCCAGGAGGCAGAGUCGGUGACCUUGGACUGCACAUAUGACACUAGGGCAAGUAAUUAUUAUUUGUUCUGGUACAAACAGCCACCCAGCGGGGAGCUGAUUUUCAUUAUUCGCCAGGAGGCUUUUAAGCAACAGAACGCGACAGAGAAUCGCUUUUCUGUGAACUUCCAGAAAGCAGCCAAGUCCUUCAGCCUCAGGAUCUCAGACUCACAGCUGGACGAUGCUGCGUUGUAUUUCUGUGCUCUCAGUGGCCCACAGUGAGCAGAGCAACAGGGAGAGGCUUACAGAAACCUCAGACCUCAGCAUCUAUGCAGAUGGGUGGGGGGAGGAGUGGUUAGGAUAAUGAGAACUUAGGGAGGGGAUCACUGAUUUCUCUUGGGGAAAAAAAAAUCUCUUAUGUAAGAAACACAGAGAGAUGGAUGUCUCUUUAUAUUAUAUACUAAAAUAAUAGUAAAAAUAGUGAUUUCCAGUUUUACAAAGUGCUUUCACAUGUAUUAUCACAUUUCACCUUUAUGUAGUAUACGUGACAAGUCAAACUUCCUAAACAUUUCUUCUG